rnacentral:rRNA from 1 species
UACGUAGGGUGCGAGCGUUGUCCGGAAUUAUUGGGCGUAAAGAGCUUGUAGGUGGCUCGUCGCGUCGGGAGUGAAAACCCGCGGCUUAACCGCGGGCCUGCUUUCGAUACGGGCGGGCUAGAGUUCGGCAGGGGAGACUGGAAUUCCUGGUGUAGCGGUGGAAUGCGCAGAUAUCAGGAGGAACACCGGUGGCGAAGGCGGGUCUCUGGGCCGAUACUGACGCUGAGGAGCGAAAGCAUGGGGAGCGAACAGG